rnacentral:lncRNA from 1 species
GCCUUGGGCAGUGACGCCAGUGACUUCAGUGACACCUCCACGGAGGACAGUGGCGGCAGCUCAGUAGUGAAGGUCUAAGCCCUCGAGCUGUGGGUUCGCGUCCUGGGUUCCGUGCAUUCGUGGAAAGCGGCGUAGCUGUGCGUGUAGCUGUGCGUGUAUGUGAUGGUUCCAUGGCUGCAAGGAGGGGAAACAGUCUAUUAUACAUAGCCCUGUAUAUAUGUACACCAACAUGAAACUUUUAUUUAACAGACGUGUCCUGGUAAAUAUGAUUUUUGUAGCUUUUUGUAAAUUAUUUAAAGUGAUGUAAAAAAUAUUUUUGGAAAAUACUGUUGUUCAAUUUUGUAGGGUGUUCCUAACUGCAGUUUUGUGUGUUCUGCAUACAAGUCUUAGAUUAGAAAACAUUUGGUUCUUAUCAUCACAGCCAGCUUCACAGAGGCUCUGAUGCUUUUUGGUUGAUUGCUGGUGGGAAUGGCCGGCAGUGGCUGCAGUUGUAGCCUAAGGAAGGCCGAGCUGCCCUCCGUGGGAAUCGCUCAGAUGCCCCAAGAUGUCCGUUGGGAAGCUCCCAGGACAGCACUUUUUAUACAGAGGACACCCCCUCGGCCCCACGUCCUUAGAGGCCAGAGCACAUCUGAAAACUGCAAUCACAGCCGUCCGCUGGAAAAACGUUUCGAAGCACAGUGGCCAGCGAGCGAGCACGUGGCUGCUCCCUGUUGCAUGUCAAAUCCACACAGAUGUCAGCGGCAGCUGCUCUGCAGCCAGUUUUUGUAAAGAGGUGCCGUGUCGUCGCGGGGGUCACCCCGGUGGGGUGGACUCAAAACUGCACAAGAUGUCCCCAGUUCAGAGCUCCUUACCGAGGCCCUUGGGGUCAGGCUUUGCUGUGACAAACAGUGGCUUGCUUAAAUACCAACCAAAUGGCCCUCCUGAUGAGGUUAAAACAGGCAAUCCAUGCCAGUCUUCCCUGGAGCACGGGGGGGCUUCCUCCCACCUUUGUUCUGCUGAUCACAGUUGCCCUUGGAGCUCCUCUUGUCCUGCUUUCAGGAGUCACUGGUGCUUUAAGACUCA